AACCCAUGGUGUGGGCAUUGGUUGGUGUAGCUCCUGAAUCUCUCAUAUGCUUCACCAAAACUCUCAUUGCUGUGUUCAGUGAAACUAGAGAUUUUGUUUCUCAGUUU
rfam:Eutrema salsugineum unplaced genomic scaffold scaffold_21, whole genome shotgun sequence.